rnacentral:rRNA from 1 species
GAUGAACGCCGGCGGCGUGCCUAAUACAUGCAAGUCGAGCGAACAGAUAAGGAGCUUGCUCCUCUGACGUUAGCGGCGGACGGGUGAGUAACACGUGGGUAACCUACCUAUAAGACUGGGAUAACUUCGGGAAACCGGAGCUAAUACCGGAUAACAUUUGGAACCGCAUGGUUCUAACGUGAAAGAUGGUUUUGCUAUCCCUUAUCGAUGGACCUGCGCCGUAUUAGCUAGUUGGUAAGGUAACGGCUUACCAAGGCGACGAUACGUAGCCGACCGGAGAGGGUGAUCGGCCACACUGGAACUGAGACACGGUCCAGACUCCUACGGGAGGCAGCAGUAGGGAAUCUUCCGCAAUGGGCGAAAGCCUGACGGAGCAACGCCGCGUGAGUGAUGAAGGGUUUCGGCUCGUAAAACUCUGUUAUUAGGGAAGAACAAACGUGUAAGUAACUGUGCACGUCUUGACGGUACCUAAUCAGAAAGCCACGGCUAACUACGUGCCAGCCGCCGCCGUAA